rnacentral:rRNA from 1 species
GACGAACGCUGGCGGCGUGCCUAAUACAUGCAAGUCGAACGAACCGCGACUAGGUGCUUGCACUUGGUCAAGGUGAGUGGCGAACGGGUGAGUAACACGUGGGUAACCUACCCCAUAGUGGGGGAUAACAGUCGGAAACGACUGCUAAUACCGCAUAGGACAUAGGAUCACAUGAUCCAGUGAGGAAAGGUGGCGCAAGCUAUCGCUAAGAGAUGGACCCGCGGUGCAUUAGCUAGUUGGUAGGGUAAAGGCCUACCAAGGCGAUGAUGCAUAGCCGACCUGAGAGGGUGAUCGGCCACAUUGGGACUGAGACACGGCCCAAACUCCUACGGGAGGCAGCAGUAGGGAAUCUUCCGCAAUGGACGCAAGUCUGACGGAGCAACGCCGCGUGAGUGAAGAAGGUCUUCGGAUCGUAAAGCUCUGUUGUUAGAGAAGAACAGCGCAUAGAGUAACUGUUAUGCGUGUGACGGUAUCUAACCAGAAAGCCACGGCUAACUACGUG